UACGUAGGGGGCGAGCGUUGUCCGGAUUUAUUGGGCGUAAAAGGCUUGUAGGUGGCCACGCCAAGUCGGAUGUGAAAUCUCCCGGCUCAACUGGGAGGGGUCAUUCGAUACUGGCGGGCUCGAGGCCGGUAGGGGGAAGUGGAAUUCCCGGUGUAGUGGUGGAAUGCGUAGAUAUCGGGAGGAACACCAGUGGCGAAGGCGGCUUCCUGGACCGGUUCUGACACUGAGGAGCGAAAGCGUGGGGAGCGGUCCGG
rnacentral:rRNA from 1 species